UGCUACAGGCUUAACACAUGCAAGUCGAGGGGCAGCAUUUCUUUUUGCUUGCAAACUGGAGAUGGCGACCGGCGCACGGGUGAGUAACACGUAUCCAACCUGCCGAUAACUCGGGGAUAGCCUUUCGAAAGAAAGAUUAAUACCCGAUGGUAUAAUCAGACCGCAUGGUCUUGUUAUUAAAGAAUUUCGGUUAUCGAUGGGGAUGCGUUCCAUUAGGCAGUUGGUGAGGUAACGGCUCACCAAACCUUCGAUGGAUAGGGGUUCUGAGAGGAAGGUCCCCCACAUUGGAACUGAGACACGGUCCAAACUCCUACGGGAGGCAGCAGUGAGGAAUAUUGGUCAAUGGGCGCAGGCCUGAACCAGCCAAGUAGCGUGAAGGAUGACUGCCCUAUGGGUUGUAAACUUCUUUUAUAUGGGAAUAAAGUGAGCCACGUGUGGCUUUUUGUAUGUACCGUAUGAAUAAGGAUCGGCUAACUCCGUGCCGGCAGCCGCGGCAAUACGGAGGAUCCGAGCGUUAUCCGGAUUUAUUGGGUUUAAAGGGAGCGUAGGCGGGUUGUUAAGUCAGUUGUGAAAGUUUGCGGCUCAACCGUAAAAUUGCAGUUGAUACUGGCGACCUUGAGUGCAACAGAGGUAGGCGGAAUUCGUGGUGUAGCGGUGAAAUGCUUAGAUAUCACGAAGAACUCCGAUUGCGAAGGCAGCUCACUGGACUGCAACUGACACUGAUGCUCGAAAGUGUGGGUAUCAAACAGGAUUAGAUACCCUGGUAGUCCACACAGUAAACGAUGAAUACUCGCUGUUUGCGAUAUACAGUAAGCGGCCAAGCGAAAGCAUUAAGUAUUCCACCUGGGGAGUACGCCGGCAACGGUGAAACUCAAAGGAAUUGACGGGGGCCCGCACAAGCGGAGGAACAUGUGGUUUAAUUCGAUGAUACGCGAGGAACCUUACCCGGGCUUAAAUUGCAUUUGAAUAUAUUGGAAACAGUAUAGCCGUAAGGCAAAUGUGAAGGUGCUGCAUGGUUGUCGUCAGCUCGUGCCGUGAGGUGUCGGCUUAAGUGCCAUAACGAGCGCAACCCUUAUCUUUAGUUACUAACAGGUCAUGCUGAGGACUCUAGAGAGACUGCCGUCGUAAGAUGUGAGGAAGGUGGGGAUGACGUCAAAUCAGCACGGCCCUUACGUCCGGGGCUACACACGUGUUACAAUGGGGGGUACAGAAGGCAGCUACCUGGUGACAGGAUGCUAAUCCCAAAAGCCUCUCUCAGUUCGGAUCGAAGUCUGCAACCCGACUUCGUGAAGCUGGAUUCGCUAGUAAUCGCGCAUCAGCCAUGGCGCGGUGAAUACGUUCCCGGGCCUUGUACACACCGCCCGUCAAGCCAUGAAAGCCGGGGGUACCUGAAGUACGUAACCGCAAGGAGCGUCCUAGGGUAAAACUGGUAAUUGGGGCU
rnacentral:rRNA from 1 species